UUUCCCUACGGGACGCAGCAGUGGGGAAUAUUGCACAAUGGGGGGAACCCUGAUGCAGCGACGCCGCGUGAGUGAAGAAGUAUUUCGGUAUGUAAAGCUCUAUCAGCAGGGAAGAUAAUGACGGUACCUGACUAAGAAGCCCCGGCUAACUACGUGCCAGCAGCCGCGGUAAUACGUAGGGGGCGAGCGUUAUCCGGAUUUACUGGGUGUAAAGGGUGCGUAGGUGGCAGGGCAAGUCGGAUGUGAAAGCCCGGGGCCCAACCCCGGUACUGCAUUUGAAACUGUCCGGCUGGAGUGCAGGAGAG
rnacentral:rRNA from 1 species